rnacentral:rRNA from 1 species
UACGUAGGGCGCAAGCGUUAUCCGGAAUUAUUGGGCGUAAAGAGCUCGUAGGCGGUUUGUCGCGUCUGCCGUGAAAGUCCGGGGCUCAACUCCGGAUCUGCGGUGGGUACGGGCAGACUAGAGUGAUGUAGGGGAGACUGGAAUUCCUGGUGUAGCGGUGAAAUGCGCAGAUAUCAGGAGGAACACCGAUGGCGAAGGCGGGUCUCUGGGCAUUAACUGACGCUGAGGAGCGAAAGCAUGGGGAGCGAACAGG